UACGUAGGGACCAAGCGUUGUUCGGAUUUACUGGGCGUAAAGGGCGCGUAGGCGGCAUGUUAAGUCAGCUGUGAAAUCUCCGAGCUUAACUCGGAACUGUCAGCUGAUACUGAUGUGCUAGAGUGCAGAAGGGGCAAUCGGAAUUCUUGGUGUAGCGGUGAAAUGCGUAGAUAUCAAGAGGAACACCUGAGGUGAAGACGGGUUGCUGGGCUGACACUGACGCUGAGGCGCGAAAGCCAGGGGAGCAAACAGG
rnacentral:rRNA from 1 species